rnacentral:rRNA from 1 species
UGAGGAAUAUUGGUCAAUGGACGCAAGUCUGAACCAGCCAUGCCGCGUGGAGGAUUAAGGCCCUCUGGGUUGUAAACUCCUUUUAUCUGGGAAGAAAUGUACUUUUUCUUGAGUACUUGACGGUACCAGAGGAAUAAGCACCGGCUAACUCCGUGCCAGCAGCCGCGGUAAUACGGAGGGUGCAAGCGUUAUCCGGAUUCACUGGGUUUAAAGGGUGCGUAGGUGGGCAGGUAAGUCAGUGGUGAAAUCUCCGGGCUUAACCCGGAAACUGCCGUUGAUACUAUUUGUCUUGAAUAUUGUGGAGGUAAGCGGAAUAUGUCAUGUAGCGGUGAAAUGCUUAGAUAUGACAUAGAACACCGAUUGCGAAGGCAGCUUACUACACAAUCAUUGACGCUGAGGCACGAAAGCGUGGGGAGCAAACA